ensembl:lncRNA
AUGUCUGCAGAGAACAUAGUCAAUACGGGAGCACAGGUUUCCCCAGAAAACAUUGCCCUGAUGGCAAAUCGACAGACACAAACACGGACUGCUCACGGACGGGCUGAGGCCAGGGAAGAGGCCCGUGUCCACUCUGAGAUGCUGGGAAGGGGGUCAGGGAGAGGCUCGGGGGCCUGGGGGGUCAGGCCAGUGCCAGGAUCACGUGAGAAACCCCGGGUACUUGCUCCCUGCCACCUCCGAGCCAGACUCUUCCCUCUGCCCCCAGAGUUCUGCUGCCCUCCAGCAGCCUCCAUCUCAGCAAGAGCAGACGGGCUGCCUGGCCACCAGGCCCCCUCUCUAGCGAACCUGGACCAGGAGCUCCCCGCCUGUCCAGUGCCCAGGCUCAGCGGGGCUCGCGGAGGCCUGGCAGGGGCGCUUGCCCCGAAUUCAGUGAGCAGAGGCCCGUUACGGAGUGAGGGGAGACUGUGUGCCAGGCCUGGGCGCCGGGUGCUGGCUGCCCCAGGUGCUGAGCACCCCGGGGCUGAGUCCAGGGCGGGCAGGGGCCAGCCUCAGGGAAGGCUCCCCUGUGAAGACGGCAGGACCAACAGGCGAUGUCAGGGUGGGGGGCCGUCAUGGAGGGCUGCGGUUGAACUGGCUUGCGCACCCGGGACGGAGGCUGGGGAUGCCGGGAUGGAGGCCGGGCUGGGGUCUUCCCGGGUGAUGCCAGAGCUGCUCCUGGGAGCUCUCUCACCAGCUCGGGGUGAUGGGCUGAGUGGAGGCAGACGUGGCCACAGGACCCGGGGACGCACACAGGGCGAGCAGGGGCAGAUUUGGGAGCUGAGGAGAAGCCUAAGCCCUCGGCCUCUGAUGUGUGACGGCAGGACGGGGAUGGGGGGGGCUCUGGUGUGCAGACUCGGGGGGACGCCCCACCCCUCUGGGCGAGCACCCACCCCUUGGGCCAGACAGUUGCAGUCUCAGGCUCCCACAGGGCACCCUGCUCCCCUGGGCAAGUUUCUGAUUUGCACUGAAACACAGUUUCUUGUGCAUAAAGUCAGGACACGCUGUUCUCAGUGGUGA